rnacentral:lncRNA from 1 species
AAAUCAAUGUCUGUCACUUCUAGACAAGUCAUUUAAUUUUCCAGACCGGUAAGUCCAAAGCACGUUCUUGGUCUCGGAUUCAGAAAAGAAAAGAGAGAGAGAAGAUGAGUUCAAGAUCUGACCUCACAAUCAUGCGUGUCUGCUUCAUAAUCUUCUUGCUUGGAGUUCUUGUUGAGCUAUGUGAUGGAGGGAUUACCAGUGAAUAUGUCAGAGGAAGUGAUUUACCAGACGACAUGCCAUUAGACAGCGAUGUCUUUAAAGUUCCUCCCGGUCGUAACACUCCCCAACAGGUUCACAUAACGCAAGGUAACCAUGAAGGCAAUGGAGUGAUUAUUUCAUGGGUGACUCCUUCUGCGCCCUGUUCUAACACAGUUCGCUAUUGGUCUGAGAAUGGAAAAUCGAAGAAGCUAGCAGAAGCAACCAUGAACACCUACCGUUUCUUCAAUUAUACAUCUGGUUACAUCCACCACUGCCUCAUUGAUGAUUUGGAAGUAAGUCUUUCCAACAAUUUAUUUGUUGUAUUUAGUUGCAGGUUUUUAUUUAAGUGCCUCGGUGUUAAUACCAGCGAGAAGUAGUGAUAGAGAGAAUAAACAUUCAAAGAAUAACUGAAUAAAUUUAGUUAUUGGUUAAUAUAAUUGCAUCUUCUUUUUAUUUUGAGUGAUAUAAUAUAAUUGCAUCUUAUGUUUAAUUUUCUCUAUUUAUUAAGUCUGAAAAAAAUCAUUUUAUUGCAGUUUGAUAUGAAAUACUACUAUGAAAUUGGGAGUGGUAAAUGGCGAAGGCGAUUCUGGUUCUUUACUCCGCCUAAACCUGGUCCUGACGUACCUUACACCUUUGGCUUAAUAGGUAUCAACUUCUGUCUUUAGUAGAUUCAUAUUUUCUGUUGUGACCGUAGAUAUUUAAUUUAUUUCUAAUACAAUAUCCAGGGGAUCUAGGACAAACAUAUGAUUCAAAUCGAACGUUAAGUCAUUAUGAGAUGAAUCCGGGAAAAGGACAGGCGGUUUUGUUCCUAGGAGACUUGUCUUAUGCGGAUCUUUACCCUUUGCAUGACAACAACAGAUGGGAUACUUGGGGAAGAUUCGUUGAGAGAAGUGUUGCUUAUCAACCUUGGAUAUGGACUGCAGGAAACCACGAAAUCGACUAUGUUCCUGAAAUUGUAAGACUUUGAAUGAAUACCCUUGUUGGUUUCUCGAAAUGGAACUUGACAUUUUUUUGCUUUUGCAGGGUGAAACAGAACCAUUCAAGCCUUUUACGAAUCGGUAUCAUACGCCGUAUAAGGCAUCGGGAAGUAUCUCUCCAUUGUGGUAUUCCAUCAAGAGGGCUUCAGCUUAUAUUAUUGUUAUGUCUUGUUACUCAUCUUACGGUAAUAAUGACUAGAGAGAAGAAAAAUAAACUAUAUUAUUGGUUGGCUUUUCUUUAAAGACUUUUUUAAUCUGAUGGAUUAAUUAGGGGUGUACACUCCUCAGUACAAAUGGCUACGAAAGGAGUUCCAAAGAGUAAACCGAACAGAGACUCCAUGGCUUAUAGUCUUAGUACAUUGCCCCUUUUACCAUAGCUAUGAGCGUCAUUACAUGGAAGGUGAAACAAUGAGGGUCAUGUACGAGCCGUGGUUCGUCAAGUCCAAAGUCGAUGUCGUGUUUGCAGGCCAUGUUCAUGCCUAUGAGAGAUCGGUAAAAAAAUUAAAUUUAGUCCUCCCCAGUAGUAUUAAUCUACCCUUGUAUCUCCACUGCCCCCAAGUGAUCAUUAAGUACACUAACGCAGGAACGUGUUUCUAACAUUGCCUACAACAUUGUCAAUGGAUUGUGUGAGCCAAUAUCGGAUGAGUCGGCUCCGGUGUACAUAACCAUCGGGGACGGAGGAAACGCAGAAGGCUUGCUUACUGAGUAAUUUUUUACCAUAUUAGCUAGCUGUACAAAGACUUUCUAUGUUUCUGAUGAAUGACUUGGUUCUUCUUAUCGUAGGAUGAUGGAGCCACAGCCAAGCUACUCUGCCUUCCGAGAAGCUAGCUUUGGGCACGGGUUGCUGGAUAUCAAAAACAGGACUCAUGCCUACUUCAGCUGGAAUCGGAACGAAGAUGGGUCUUCCGAGGAAGCGGAUUCUGUGUGGUUGCUUAAUCGGUAUUGGGGAGCUCCAAAGAAUAUUUCGCUGGGUUUUGGUUGCCACCCGAACACAAAUUGAUCUAUGCUAAACGAUGGAACCAAAUGUGAGAGUUAUCAAGUUCUAUAACGUUUUCGUUUCGCAUGGUUGUCCUUUUAUAAACAAAUCACUAAGAAAGUAAGAAGAUGAUAUCUGCAAGAUAGUAAGUGCUAUAAUAAAAGAAAAGAUAGUAAAAGUGUAAUAAAAAGCCAAGCAAUGAUGAUAAAUAAAACUCGUUUGAAAUUUCAUAAUGAAGUUUCAUAAAACUUUAUUUAAUAGAACUUAUAAUUAUAAACUCGUCUUUGCAAAAAUGAAAUCUAAGCUCGUCUUUACAAAAAACUUAAUGGAACUUAUUUCGAGACGAUAGAUUUUGAAGUUUCAUAAAACUUUUAUUUAAUAGAAAUUAUAAUGGUAUCAAUAAUUUAUGUAUUUUCAAUUUUAUAUAAUUCUGAUCAUGAGCAAAAGCGGAUAGGCUGUGAUUCUAGGAAGAAAGUUCACGAUGGGGUAUUGUAUUAGUCAAUCGUGUGUGCAUUUGUGGUAAAUCGAGACGAUCGUGAAAAAAACCCAAAGAAUCAGGUAUAUUGGUCGAUGGUCAUGAGUUUGAGUGCGAUCGCUAGUCACGAUCAUCGAGAUGGAUAAACCUCAAGGCCAAGAUAGUAAUUCAGAUCAAGUCUGGUGCGAGAAACAAUUGGAUUGUAUAUGCUAGGCGAGUCAUGGUUCAUGAGUGGAUUCACGAUGAGCAUGACUCAAGAUGUUGGUAAGCAUAGGGCUGAGAAGACAAGCAGGGGCGGACCCAGAAAUUUGUUUAAAUGUUAUAAACAUAAAAUACAAAGAUAUUUUUUAAUAUUAAGCACGUAGACAUUAUGUAAAACAAGUUAAAUAAAGGUAUUUAAACAAAUUUUAUACUAAAUUUUUAACAAAUAAAAAGAGAGAGUGGAGUACAUACCACACCUUACUUUUACAUGGGUUCGCCCAUGAAAACAAGUCGAAACAGAGUGACUGUGAGGCUGAGUUAUUGGACUGGAGUGUUUGAGUAUUCAUGGCCGGUGGACUGGCGCGUCACUGCACAGUGUGAGGCAAAGGCUGUGGGCUAAGUAUGAUAUUCUGGUUGACCUUGAGAUGGUUAGUAAUUGACGAAGAAACUUCUAGUGUCCUGACCAUAAUGAUGGUUGGAUGGAAGACUGAGCCGUUUUGUUUGUUGCUUGGUCAUGUGGGGAUACUUGGUUAAGUGAAUAAGUAACAAGGAUAUGUAGUAAAGUAUUGUUCAAGUAGGACAAGAAAAUAUGGUGGCAACAAGAACGGGUCAAAAGGAUGAACGAGUAGACAAAUCAAGGUCGAAACAUUUUUAAGCAAAGAUAUAUGUUUAUAAAUAGCUGCAAUCCCUUAUAUAUUAAAGGAGAAGCAUUAUAAUAAAUGUAUUCACACUAUAAUAGACACGUGGCAGCCUCAUAAUGAUUUGAUAAUAAAUAUGCUAACGCGUUCACACUAUAUUUAUAAAUGUGUUCAUACUAUAUACUUUGUAUUUUUUAAUAUAAAAUUCAUAUGCAUGGUUCCAAUAAAACUUUAGAUUUUUUCGGUUCGAAUCAAAACAAAUAACGAAUCAAAAGCUAAACUAUAUAUAUAUAUAUUAUUUUUAUUGUUUACUGAUAAAGUUGGACAAAAUAUUUAUAAUUUUUGAUUCAAUUCAUUAUCCGUUUUGAAUUGAACCAAAAAAUAUGGAUAUCUGUAACACUCUACAAAACAAAUCAGUUACUAAAAUACAAUUAAAAAACAAACAAAUCACAAAUACCAAUAUUUUUAGGAGCAAUUAUCAAAUUUGAUCUAUUAUAUGAAUAUAUAUACAUAUAUGUACAGAAUUAUAUAUAUAUGUUAUAUAUAUUAUAGUUUAUAUAAGUUUUACAAUAUUUUUAUGAAUUAAAUUUAUUAUAUUAGGUAUUAAAAUUUUAAAAGUAAAUAAUAUUUUAUUUUUGUAAUAAACGUUAUUAUUAAAUUUUCAGUUAUUUUUUAAAUUUUAUUUACGGAUCAAAUCGGAUAUUCUUUAAAAUUCUAAAUCAUUUCGGAUAUCAUAGUCACCGAUUAUCCAAGUGGCUAAAGAUUUAAUCGACAUGAAUGCCUCCAAAUACUCGGAUAUUCGAUCUGUGCCCACCUCUAUUUACGGAUAUAGUUGAUUUUUUUAUAUGAAAAAAAUUCACUAAUGUCAAGGCCUUUUUAAUUUUUAAUUAAUUUUAAUUUUAUCUGUUAUGUAUUAUUUAAAACAAAAAUAUCAUUAAUAUUAAUUAACAAUAUCUUUAUAUAUUUGUCAUUUAUUUUUAUAUACUUUUACAUACACAUAUAUGUGCACCUUGAUGUGAGCACUUUAUAAAUAUUUACCACUACUGUAGUAUCUAUUUUUUUUUUAGAAUUUGAAAUAUUUUUUUUCUUAAUGCUUCUUUCAGUACCGACCAAAUUGUAGUGAAAUGAUUAGUCUUAAUAAUUUUUUUUUCUUUUUCUUGAACUAUUAUCCGUUUACAAACUAUAAUAUGAAACCAUUGAUUCGACAUGACAAUUAUCUAAAAUUUAUAACAUAAAAAUAAACAAAUAAUAAUACUUAUUUAUUUUUACCGAAAAAACUAAAAAAUCAAACAUUCUAACAGAAUAAACCAAAAAAUAAUUUAAAACUGAACCAAUAUCUAGAUUAAACAGAUUUAAUGUGUUUUUAUUAAAAAUAACAAAACUAAUAAUCACAUCCCGCGCAAGGCGCGGAUUAUUACCUAGUAACUUAGUAAUCUGCUAGGUUACUGGAUUAUAUUAAGGAAACAAUGAACUGAACCUCGUUAAAGAAUUAUGGUGGAAAAUAAAUCUAAAAAGGACUUUAGUUGGGUCGUGAAAAACAAUUUACGAUCUUACGUGCAGUAAAGAAACCGGGUUGGGCCACAAGUAAAUUAUCUUGUGAAGUUGUGAUUCUUAUUUUAUUAUUUAUAAAUCUUAUAAUUAUGAUUCUUCCGAAUGAUUCCCUAUCUAUAUAAUAUAAAUUCCCACCAAACACUUACUGAUUGCACACCUAACUAGCCUAGUCUCAAUUACACCACAAUAAGGAGUCGACUAACAAUGCAAAUAAAAUUCACAAUUUGCAAAACACAAAUUUCAAAUGGAGAUCGUGUGAAAAGCUCCAACAAAAGUGGCAGAAACAUUAUUAACAAUGUGUUUGAAUAAUUGAACUUGGCAAUGAACUCAAUUAUGUUACUUAUUUUUUGAAAAACAUAAAAAACCGUGGGAACGAAAGCUUCUUCUUCUUCUUACCAGGCUUGCUCGGUGGGAACGGACUGGUUUCAGAGUUAUCUUCUGUUCCAUAUGAUUCACUUGGGCUGUAGACCUCAGGUGAUCGGGUCAACUUACUUAAGAUAAAUCUUCAGUGAAAGAAAAAUAAAAAUAAGUUUGUAGCCACUAGACAAAAUAAAUCUGUGAGUAAUGAUAUUUUCGUAAUUAUUAUUUUUGAUAACAAUGAAUUCAAGAAUAUAAUAGGUAUAAAAUUUAAGCUAGUAAUUAAACUAAAAUAAAAGUCAUUAUUAUAGUAAUAAACUAAUGAAUUAGGGUUAAACUAGCUUUUUCCCUAAUAAUUAUUAUUUUUUAUUUUCAAAAACAAAAUACAUAGAGCACUUGUAAAAGGUUCUGCUCUUUCCGAUCAAUCCAAAUAAUAAUCGAAGGCGAUAUUUCAAGUUUUCAACAUUAAUAAACGUGCCACAUCCGUUUAUAUUUUUAGACAAGUUUUCGGAAAAGGCAACUAAAUAUAAAUAAAAUAAAACUUGAUAAAAAAGGAGCCGAAUAUCCCCUGUGGAUCCUCUGCUGGAUAAUUAUAAAAUCAAUGUCUGUCACUUCUAGACAAGUCAUUUAAUUUUCCAGACCGGUAAAUCCAAAGCACGUUCUUGGUCUCGGAUUCAGAAAAGAAAAGAGAGAGAGAAGAUGAGUUCAAGAUCUGACCUCACAAUCAUGCGUGUCUGCUUCAUAAUCUUCUUGCUUGGAGUUCUUGUUGAGCUAUGUGAUGGAGGGAUUACCAGUGAAUAUGUCAGAGGAAGUGAUUUACCAGACGACAUGCCAUUAGACAGCGAUGUCUUUAAAGUUCCCCCCGGUCCUAACACUCCCCAACAGGUUCACAUAACGCAAGGUAACCAUGAAGGCAAUGGAGUGAUUAUUUCAUGGGUGACUCCUUCUGCGCCCUGUUCUAACACAGUU